rnacentral:rRNA from 1 species
CCACAACAAAUGGAUCAUAAAGUCUUCAAAAAAGAAUAGAUACGAUUGCAAUGCAUGUAGUAACAUAUGCUUUCAUACUAGCACUAAUGCACCGGAUCCCAUCAGAACUCCGCAGUUAAGCGUGCUUGGGCGAGAGUAGUACGAGGAUGGGUGACCUUGAGGAAUGUCCUCGUAUUGCAUCCCUC